rnacentral:rRNA from 1 species
AGUUCAGGGAGGUAGUGACAAUAAAUACCUUACAGAGGUCUCGUUAACCGAGAUCUCUCAAACGGAAUGAGUACAACGUGAAUCCUUUAACGAGGAUCGACUGGAGGGCAAGCCUGGUGCCAGCAGCCGCGGUAAUUCCAGCUCCAGUAGCGUAUAUUAAAGCUGUUGCGGUUAAAAAGCUCGUAGUUGGAUAUCAGUGCGUGUCCGGUCCGGUAUGCCUGGCGGCGUCGCUCGCGCGGCACUGCUGGGCUCCCAAAUAUCGGCUGGCCGCAUUCAAUCGUGCCGGAUCCGUCGACGGGCCGUUCUUCGGAGGGGCCUGUUGGCGACCGGCGACGUUACCUUGAACAAAUUAGAGUGCUCAAAGCAGGCUCUGAAUGCCUGUAUACAUAUUCAUGGAAUUGGAGAAUACGUCCCUGGCUCGAUUUGGUUGGUUUUGAGAGUCGAAGGGAAAUGAUUAAUAGGGACUGACGGAGGCAUUCGUAUUGCGACGCGAGGGGUGAAAUCCUGUGACCGUCGCACGACGAACUACUGCGAAAGCAUUUGCCGAGAAUGUUUUCAUUAGUCAAGAACGAAAGUUAGAGGUUCGAAGGCGAUCAGAUACCGCCCUAGUUCUAACCGUAAACGAUGUCGACCAGCAAUCCGCAACGGUCACUACACGGACUGUGCGGGCAGCUUCCCCGGGGAAACCAGAGUUUUUGGACUCCGGGGGAAGUAUGGUUGCAAAGCUGAAACUUAAAGGAAUUGACGGAAGGGCACCACCAGGAGUGGAGCUUGCGGCUUAAUUUGACUCAACACGGGACAACUCACCAGGCCCGGACACCGUAAGGAUUGACAGACUGAUAGCUCUCUCUUGAUUCAGUGGGUGGUGGUGCAUGGCCGUUCUUAGUUGGUGGAGUGAUUUGUCUGGUUUAUUCCGAUAACGAACGAGACUCUGGCCUAUUAAACUUGACACUGUCAGUCUCUUGUGACUGCGGUGCGCUUCUU